GUUUCUGUAGUGUAGUGGUUAUCACGUUUGCCUCACACGCGUAAGGUCCCGGCUUCGAAACCGGCAGAAACA
rnacentral:tRNA from 1 species